rnacentral:lncRNA from 1 species
AUGGAGUUGGUUCUCACCCCACGUUGUUUCGGGGUGUUUUCAGGUUGUUCGUGUGCGGCGCGGCGGCGCAAGGCGAGGGCGUAGCUUCGUAGAUAGCGCCCUACCCCAGAGACCGAGGUAGCAGUACCCGAGUUGGUGGUCUAGCUUGAGGGGUUUAGAGACAAAGUGCAAACUUGUAAUAAAUUGUAAUAAUGUAAUUGUAUUUGGAAGUUAAGCAAAUGUAUAAUGUGGAUGUAAAAUGAAUGCGUGUAAUAGCAGUUAGUUUUAUGUAUUUGAUACUUCCUUAUGCAAUUUGGAUUAAUAUCCGUUCCUAGUUGGAACAUUCGUUGAUUGUUGGGAUUGCGACG